rnacentral:rRNA from 1 species
GAUGAACGCUGGCGGCGUGCCUAAUACAUGCAAGUCGAACGAACAGACGAGGAGCUUGCUCCUCUGACGAUAGCGGCGGACGGGUGAAUGACACGUGGAUAACCAGCCUAUAAGACUGGGAUAACUUCGGGAAACCGGAGCUCAUACCCGAUAAUAUCUUGAUCCGCAUUGUUCAAUGGUAAAAGACGGUUUUGCUGUCACUUAUAGAUGGCUCCGGGCCGAAUUAGCUAUUGGGUAAGGUAACGGCUUACGACGGCAACGAACCGUAGCCGACCGCAGAGGGGGAUGGGCAACCUGGGAACGGGACAACGGCCCAGACCCCAACGGGAGGCAGAAGUAGGGAAUCUUCGGAAAUGGGGGAAAGCUUGACGGAGCAACGCCGCGGGGUGGAUGAAGGUCUUCGGAUCGUAAAACUCGGUUAUUAGGGAGGACCAAAUGUGGAAGUAACUAUGCACGUCUUGACGGUACCUAAUCAGAAAGCGACGGCUAACUACGUG